ensembl:lncRNA
CGGCAGGCUCCCAAGCCUGCAGGAUAUUCGAUGCGAUUUGACUGCAUCCAGCAAACGGGGACUAAACUGUUUUUAGUUUGGUGCCCCAGUAAUUAUGUGUAUAGUUCAGAGCAAAGCGUGCCCAGUCCAGCUCAGUCUGGUGGGGACACAGACCCUGAGGUCCACAAACGGACCAUGGAGGGGGCCCUGGAGCAGGAGUCCACUCGGCACAAGACUCUGACCCCAGAUGAGGCGUCUUCAGCGGCAGAUAUCCCACCAGACCAUCAAACCGACUUUAUACCGGGUUCUCCUGAAACCAGAAAAGACACAGAGCCCCAGACAUACUCGGAUCCACACUCUGAAGGCCAGGACCACGACCGGGCAGCCCAGGCUCUACAGUCCCCCACUCCCUCUACCUCCUCCACGCUGGUCACCCCAGACCAGCUGCCACCUCCAGCCCAGGACCAGGCUACCACAGACAUUACUCCACCCCGAGCCCUCCUCCCCGAGCCGACGGAGGGUUCCGGCGAUGCCCCCGCGCCGCAGCCCACCUUGGAGGCUGUCCCAUCGGCUGACCCCUCCGGGGAACAGUCCCCACGCGACAUCCAAGACGCGCCUACCUCAGGGAGCGUCGGCUCC